rnacentral:rRNA from 1 species
AGAACGAACGCUGGCGGCAGGCCUCAAACAUGCAAGUCUAGGGGGUGUAGCAAUACAUCACCGGCGGACGGGUGCGUAACACGUGGGAAUAUACCUUUUGGUUCGGAACAACGCAGGGAAACUUGCGCUAAUACCGAAUGUGCCCUUACGGGGAAAGAUUUAUCGCCAAAGGAUUAGCCCGCGUAGGAUUAGCUAGUUGGUGAGGUAAUGGCUCACCAAGGCUCCGAUCCUUAGCUGUUCUGAGAGGAAGAUCAGCCACACUGGGACUGAGACACGGCCCAGACUCCUACGGGAGGCAGCAGUUGGGAAUCUUGGACAAUGGGGAAACCCUGAUCCAGCCAUGCCGCGUGAGUGAUGAAGGCCUUCGGGUUGUAAACUCUUUCGACGGGGACGAUAAUGACGGUACCCGUAGAAGAAGCUCCGGCUAACUUCGCGCCAGCAGCCGC